rnacentral:lncRNA from 1 species
UAUGCUAAACAAUUUAAUCAAUUUAGAAAGCAAAAUUUUUUCUUUUUUCACUUUUGAUAGGGAUUACCAAUUUUUGAGAAAGAAUUUAAGCCCAGUUUAGCUGGCACUCAGGUUUUAAGCUUAGUGUAGCUGGCAUAUAUGAAAAUAUAAGUCUAGUUCUUCCGGAAUCUAAUGAAACUUUAAACCUAGUUUAGCUGACAGCUAAGUUUAAGCCCAGACUAGUUGGCACACAAGCUUAGAUUAAUUGGCACAUAAGCCAAGUUCAAUUGGCAUGCAAACCCAGAUUAGCUAACAAAUAGGCCUAGUUUAGUUGGCAUGUAAUCCUAGAUUAGUUGAAAAAGUAUACACCCCUUUUUAUCCUUUUUAAGUGUUAAAGUCUUUUUGAAUCAACAAAAUCUUCGAGUGCAGAACCAUCUAAUCUAUUAGGAAAGAAAAUUCUCUUUUUUCAUUUCUGAUAGGGAUUGCCAAUUCCAAAGAAAAAUUUAAGUCAUGUUUUUUCCUAGCAUCCAGGUUUUAAGCCCAAUUUAGCUAGUACUCAUGAAAAUAUUUAAGCCUAAUUUAGCUAGCACCUAUAGGAAUUAAGCCUAGUUUAGCUAGUACCCAUGAAAGAUUUAAGGUCAGUCUAGCUGGCACCUAUGAAAAGAUUCAAGCCUAGAUUAGUUAGUACCUGAUGCAAAUUUAAGCCCAGAUUAGCUACCACCCCAUAAAAAGAUUUAAGCCCAGUUUAGCUAGCAACCAAUGAAAUUUUAAGCCCAGUUUAGCUAGCAUUAAUGAAAAUUUAAGCUUAGAUUAUCUGGCACACAAGCCCCAUAUUAGCUAGCAUCGAGAAGUUUUAAGCCCAGUUUAACUAGCACACAAGCCCAAUUUAGCUAACACCUAUGGAAGUGUGAACUCGCAUGGAAAAAGCAUAUGUUUUUUUUUAUCACUUUUCAGGUGGAGAAACCCAUUUGAAUGAUGAAAAACCUCAAUGUGCUGAAUUAUUCAAUCCAUUUGGAAAGAAAAUUUUUACUUUUAUUAAGGAUUGCCAAUUCUUAAGAAAGAAUUUAAGCCCAAUUUGGUUGGCACUUAGGUUUUAAACCUAGUUUAGCUAGCAAAAGUGACAAUCUAAGUUUAGAUUUUCUUGAACCCAAUGAAAAUUUAAGCCCAGUUUAGUUGGCACCUAUGAAAAUUUAAGCCCCAUUUAGCUGGCCCAAAAACCUAGAUUAGCUUACACGUUAACCUAGAUUAAUGGUCACCUUAUUCAACCUACAAUUCAAUCCUAAUCAUCAUUAUCUUUUGACUCAUUGUUUAAUCCUGG